UUCUGCCACCGAAUACAUUAGCAUGGGAUAAUGGAAUAGGACCCUGUCCUCCUAUUUUCAGUUGGUUUUGGCAGCGCGAGGACUAGGGUAAUGAUUAAUAGGGAUAGUUGGGGGCAUUAAUAUUUAAUUGUCAGAGGUGAAAUUCUUGGAUUUAUGAAAGAUUAACUUCUGCGAAAGCAUCUGCCAAGGAUGUUUUCAUUAAUCAAGAACGAAAGUUAGGGGAUCGAAGACGAUCAGAUACCGUCGUAGUCUUAACCAUAAACGAUGCCGACCAGCGAUUAGGAGACGUUGAAUACAAAACACCACCAUCGGCGCGGUCGUCCUUGGCGCGUUCGUGUUCACGCACGGGCGCGCGAGGGCGGUUUAGCCCGGUGGCACCGGUGAAUGACUCCCCUAGC
rnacentral:rRNA from 1 species